CCCUCUGUGGCACAAACAGUUUGUGCUUAACUACUAAUUUUAGGAAUGGUGGUUCAAACCCACCCAGGGGCA
rnacentral:tRNA from 1 species